UACGGGGGGGGCAAGCGUUGUUCGGAAUUACUGGGCGUAAAGGGUUCGUAGGUGGCUCGCUAAGUCAGACGUGAAAUCCCUCAGCUUAACUGGGGAACUGCGUCUGAGACUGGCAAGCUCGAGUGCAGGAGAGGAACGCGGAAUUCCAGGUGUAGCGGUGAAAUGCGUAGAUAUCUGGAGGAAUACCGGUGGCGAAGGCGGCAUCCUGGACCGAGAUUGACGCUGAUGAGCGAAAGCUAGGGGAGCAAACGGG
rnacentral:rRNA from 1 species